CGUGCGGAAGCGUGUCGCGCCCUUUUGCCCUCCCUAUCCGUCUCGUCCCCGCUUGCCUCGUGUUCGGCGUGACCGAGCUCCUAUAAGCUACUGCACGGCGAUGAGGGGCAGCAGCGGUGCGGGAGGACGGCAGGCGGAGCCGUUAUCUCAGCUGUGCCGGCCUUGCGGGGUCGCAAGGUCGCCCGGCUCUUUGAGGGAUCUCCGGCUGCGGUCCGUGGCCGUAAAGCCGCGCUUAUCUCACCGGUGUGCGUGGUUGUGAGGGGAAGUCAGAGCGCCUCCUAACGCCUCCCAUGGUGGUGGUGAUACAUCUGAGAAAGCGUGUGAAGUAAUUCUGAACAAAAGAACAGAAUUAUGCAGCUGUUGUCCCACAGCUCGGAACGCUGACAACACGUGCAGAAAAAUAACAUGAAAAUGGAGAUUGUGGUCUGAAGCCUGGCCCAAACCAAGGGUCACACACAAACAGUGUGUGCUUCUAAAUGCUCUGCGUCUCUCUUUGGAAGUCCACACAUAGGUCUCCACAUCAAUUGAGUGAUCUGCUUUCUAGUGGCUUCUUAUCAAGAAUUAAGACAAUUAAGACUGAAAAUACAUUGCUGCAUUUAUCUUGAUUGCUAUAAUACAAACACCUCUCACAGAAUAAGGCAAGUGAACAUUUUGAGUGUCAGCCAGAGACUUCAAGUCAGUCAUUCAACAUCCAAUGUCAGACAUUCAAACAUCCAUCACUUUUACAAAAUAAUUACAGUUCUUUAAAGUUCUUCAGGUACCUUAAAACAGGGUUGCAGUUCAUGAUAGUUCCUGACCUAACCCAGUCAGGAGAUUCCCACAUAUGUUCAGAGUUGGUAGGGAUGUUCUCAUGCCUUCUUUUAAUUUCUUUUUAUCUCUUCUUUUGGGCACUGUUCUGAUUUCAUGGAGAUAAAAAUGAUUAAAUGGAAAAAAAAAAAAAAAAAAAGGAAAAUUCAGGGAUAUGAUUUUGCAAUUUGUGUAAAAGAUACUUAAUUUGGAAACAAUCAGCAUCUGUCUUUCAUAGGAGUCUGAUUUCAAGAUCCAAAUUUACAUUCAUAUUCUUCUAAAAUUGUGAUUGAUUCACGUAAUUGAUAUUCCCAACUUUAUCACAAACAUGCUUAGAAAUGUGCUUGAAAAUGUGUUUCCAACACUUUUUAAAGCAAAAAGAAGAAAGCACUUAUUUGGUCAGCCAGAACAAGCAGAUUGCCUAUAGUAAUAUGUGUUCUACUCUAAAGCCACAGACUGAAGAAGAUUGUACAGCAUUUUCUUUUGUUAGUACAUUCUCAUCCAUGCUGAUUUGCUUGUGGGAUAAAUUUGCUGUUGCAGAAGCAGUGCUGGCCAUUUUCAGCAUCUAAAAACAUUUUGGCUCAGAGAUACAAUAGAUCUAGUCUUCGCAUUAAAGCAAUUAAAUGAAGAUCCUCAGUAUGGGUGCUGCAUAUUGCCUUGUUCAGGGCUGCUUUAUUCCAGUGAGCCUUGUAAGACAGGACUUCUGAAGGAGCAGAACUGUAAGAAAAUGGAGUAUAGCCAUAACCUAACUGUUCCUACUACCAAAACAGCAGAAUAACUAAUUCAUGAUAACUGGAUAAUUCUAUUUUUGUUAUUCAGUGGUACAGAUGGUACUUGAUUUUUGAAGACAUUGUCAGUUAAAGUCUUAUUCUCUUUUGAAAACUGUUUCUUGCUGAAAAGCUGAGGAAUUUUACUAUACAGUUUUGACUAGAUACGUAUCUCAGCUACCUGGUAUUUGCUGUUGGACAUUAAACCUGAGCUAAUAAAUUAUAAAGCCGGGUAACUUGUCAGAGAUUUUCUGCAGAUAUUACUGCAGUAAUAGCUUAAAAAGUGAGUGGUAUAGAUUCUGAAUAAAGGCCAGCUAAAACUGA